CUCUAAGAGCCGGCUCGUUCGCGAACUACACAUCACUAGUAGUUGCCGAACUGUGUCCACUGCUUGUCCCGACUUGAUACACCCAUGAUCGUCAUCGUAACCCUGGCGAUAUUCAGAGCACAAUAUCUGGAGUGGUUUGGUUUGGAGUUUGAAAUCUACCACUCAUGAGUCGUGUGAACAGCUGUACAGCAGGGGAGAUGAUUUGUGUUUGUCCACGUGCUUUGUAUACACCCAACGCACCGGAAUAUCGAGUAAGUGUGGCUGCAUCUCAAAACAUUGGGUUGUGAUGAUUAUUUUUCUGCACUAAGAAGUAUUGUGGCUUGGAAAUAAAGUAUUUUUAUUUCUGUUUCCCUAUUAAGCAAGCCACUGCUGUUGUCUAUUGUGGCUUAAUUGUCUUUAAUCUGUUAAAUGAUUUUCUUUGAUCUCUAAAAUCCCUUUUCGAACUCUUUUAAAAUUCAGUUUACAUCAAAUCUUAAAGCUGUACAAUUUCUCAUUGUUCAGUCGGGAAUAAAGCCCACAUAAAAAUGAUUUUGUGUCCAGCCUAGUCCUUCCAGAAACUCGGCUACAUAAAGGUGUAUACAGUUUCAGUCCAUCUGUUUUGUAUGUCUGAAUAUUUUUCUGUGGGAAAUUGUGAAGAAUGAAUGCUUUGUAAUAGUGUCUAAACCGCAACGUUAAAUCC